rnacentral:rRNA from 1 species
UUAAGCGACUAAGCGUACACGGUGGAUGCCCUGGCAGUCAGAGGCGAUGAAGGACGUGCUAAUCUGCGAAAAGCGCCGGCGAGGUGAUAUGAACCUUUGACCCGGCGAUGUCCGAAUGGGGAAACCCAGUGUGUUUCGACACACUAUCGUUAACUGAAUACAUAGGUUAACGAGGCGAACCGGGGGAACUGAAACAUCUAAGUACCCCGAGGAAAAGAAAUCAACCGAGAUUCCCCCAGUAGCGGCGAGCGAACGGGGAGCAGCCCGGAGUCUGAAUCAGCUUGUGUGUUAGUGGAACGGUCUGGAAAGUCCGACGGUACAGGGUGAUAGUCCCGUACACGAAAAUGCACAGGUUGUGAACUCGAAGAGUAGGGCGGGACACGUGGUAUCCUGUCUGAAUAUGGGGGGACCAUCCUCCAAGGCUAAAUACUCCUGACUGACCGAUAGUGAACCAGUACCGUGAGGGAAAGGCGAAAAGAACCCCGGCGAGGGGAGUGAAAAAGAACCUGAAACCGUGUACGUACAAGCAGUGGGAGCCUCUUUUAUGGGGUGACUGCGUACCUUUUGUAUAAUGGGUCAGCGACUUAUAUUCUGUAGCAAGGUUAACCGAAUAGGGGAGCCGAAGGGAAACCGAGUCUUAACUGGGCGUUAAGUUGCAGGGUAUAGACCCGAAACCCGGUGAUCUAGCCAUGGGCAGGUUGAAGGUUGGGUAACACUAACUGGAGGACCGAACCGACUAAUGUUGAAAAAUUAGCGGAUGACCUGUGGCUGGGGGUGAAAGGCCAAUCAAACCGGGAGAUAGCUGGUUCUCCCCGAAAGCUAUUUAGGUAGCGCCUCGUGAACUCAUCUUCGGGGGUAGAGCACUGUUUCGGCUAGGGGGCCAUCCCGGCUUACCAACCCGAUGCAAACUACGAAUACCGAAGAAUGUUAUCACGGGAGACACACGGCGGGUGCUAACGUCCGUCGUGAAGAGGGAAACAACCCAGACCGCCAGCUAAGGUCCCAAAGUCAUGGUUAAGUGGGAAACGAUGUGGGAAGGCACAGACAGCCAGGAUGUUGGCUUAGAAGCAGCCAUCAUUUAAAGAAAGCGUAAUAGCUCACUGGUCGAGUCGGCCUGCGCGGAAGAUGUAACGGGGCUAAACCAUGCACCGAAGCUGCGGCAGCGACGCUUAUGCGUUGUUGGGUAGGGGAGCGUUCUGUAAGCCGUUGAAGGUGGCCUGUGAGGGUUGCUGGAGGUAUCAGAAGUGCGAAUGCUGACAUAAGUAACGAUAAAGCGGGUGAAAAGCCCGCUCGCCGGAAGACCAAGGGUUCCUGUCCAACGUUAAUCGGGGCAGGGUGAGUCGACCCCUAAGGCGAGGCCGAAAGGCGUAGUCGAUGGGAAACAGGUUAAUAUUCCUGUACUUGGUGUUACUGCGAAGGGGGGACGGAGAAGGCUAUGUUAGCCGGGCGACGGUUGUCCCGGUUUAAGCAUGUAGGCGGAGGUUCCAGGUAAAUCCGGUACCUUAUUAACGCUGAGGUGUGAUGACGAGGCACUACGGUGCUGAAGUAACAAAUGCCCUGCUUCCAGGAAAAGCCUCUAAGCAUCAGGUAACACGAAAUCGUACCCCAAACCGACACAGGUGGUCAGGUAGAGAAUACCAAGGCGCUUGAGAGAACUCGGGUGAAGGAACUAGGCAAAAUGGUGCCGUAACUUCGGGAGAAGGCACGCUGAUAUGUAGGUGAAGCCCCUGCGGGUGGAGCUGAAAUCAGUCGAAGAUACCAGCUGGCUGCAACUGUUUAUUAAAAACACAGCACUGUGCAAACACGAAAGUGGACGUAUACGGUGUGACGCCUGCCCGGUGCCGGAAGGUUAAUUGAUGGGGUUAGCGGUAACGCGAAGCUCUUGAUCGAAGCCCCGGUAAACGGCGGCCGUAACUAUAACGGUCCUAAGGUAGCGAAAUUCCUUGUCGGGUAAGUUCCGACCUGCACGAAUGGCGUAAUGAUGGCCAGGCUGUCUCCACCCGAGACUCAGUGAAAUUGAACUCGCUGUGAAGAUGCAGUGUACCCGCGGCAAGACGGAAAGACCCCGUGAACCUUUACUAUAGCUUGACACUGAACACUGGUCCUUGAUGUGUAGGAUAGGUGGGAGGCUUUGAAGCGUGGACGCCAGUCUGCGUGGAGCCGACCUUGAAAUACCACCCUUUAAUGGCUGGUGUUCUAACGUAGACCCGUAAUCCGGGUUGCGGACAGUGUCUGGUGGGUAGUUUGACUGGGGCGGUCUCCUCCCAAAGAGUAACGGAGGAGCACGAAGGUUAGCUAAUCCUGGUCGGACAUCAGGAGGUUAGUGCAAUGGCAUAAGCUAGCUUGACUGCGAGAGUGACGGCUCGAGCAGGUGCGAAAGCAGGUCAUAGUGAUCCGGUGGUUCUGAAUGGAAGGGCCAUCGCUCAACGGAUAAAAGGUACUCCGGGGAUAACAGGCUGAUACCGCCCAAGAGUUCAUAUCGACGGCGGUGUUUGGCACCUCGAUGUCGGCUCAUCACAUCCUGGGGCUGAAGUAGGUCCCAAGGGUAUGGCUGUUCGCCAUUUAAAGUGGUACGCGAGCUGGGUUUAGAACGUCGUGAGACAGUUCGGUCCCUAUCUGCCGUGGGCGCUGGAGAAUUGAGGGGGGCUGCUCCUAGUACGAGAGGACCGGAGUGGACGCAUCACUGGUGUUCGGGUUGUCAUGCCAAUGGCACUGCCCGGUAGCUAAAUGCGGAAGAGAUAAGUGCUGAAAGCAUCUAAGCACGAAACUUGCCCCGAGAUGAGUUCUCCCUGAGACUAUAAGUCUCCUGAAGGAACGUUGAAGACGACGACGUUGAUAGGUCGGGUGUGUAAGCGCAGCGAUGCGUUGAGCUAACCGAUACUAAUGAACCGUGAGGCUUAACCU